rnacentral:rRNA from 1 species
ACCGGCAGCUCGAGUGGUCGUCACUUUUAUUGGGCCUAAAACGUCCGUAGCCGGUUUGGUAAAUCUGUGGGUAAAUCAACUAGCUUAACUAGUUGAAUUCUGCAGAGACUGCCAGACUAGGAACCGGGAGAGGUGUGGGGUACUCAAGGGGUAGGGGUAAAAUCCUGUCAUCCUUUGAGGACCACCAGUUGCGAAGGCGCCACACUAGAACGGAUUCGACGGUCAGGGACGAAGCCUAGGGGCACGAACCGG